rnacentral:rRNA from 1 species
GACGAACGCUGGCGGCGUGCUUAACACAUGCAAGUCGAACGGAAAGGCCCUGCUUUUGUGGGGUGCUCGAGUGGCGAACGGGUGAGUAACACGUGAGUAACCUGCCCUUGACUUUGGGAUAACUUCAGGAAACUGGGGCUAAUACCGGAUAGGAGCUCCUGCUGCAUGGUGGGGGUUGGAAAGUUUCGGCGGUUGGGGAUGGACUCGCGGCUUAUCAGCUUGUUGGUGGGGUAGUGGCUUACCAAGGCUUUGACGGGUAGCCGGCCUGAGAGGGUGACCGGCCACACUGGGACUGAGAUACGGCCCAGACUCCUACGGGAGGCAGCAGUGGGGAAUAUUGUACAAUGGGCGGAAGCCUGAUGCAGCAACGCCGCGUGCGGGAUGACGGCCUUCGGGUUGUAAACCGCUUUCGCCUGUGACGAAGCGUGAGUGACGGUAAUGGGUAAAGAAGCACCGGCUAACUACGUG